rnacentral:rRNA from 2 species
UACGUAGGAGGCGAGCGUUGUCCGGAGUUACUGGGCGUAAAGCGCACGCAGGCGGUCUCUUAAGUUUGUAGGGACAGGGCACAGCUCAACUGUGUCAGGCUUACGAAAACUGGGAGACUUGAGGGCUUCAGAGGGAUGGGGAAUUCCGGGUGGAGUGGUGAAAUGCGUAGAGAUCCGGAAGAACACCAAAGGCGAAGGCACCAUCCUGGGGAGUCACUGACGCUCGGGUGCGAAAGCCAGGGGAGCGAACGGG